UCGAGCCGGAUGAUAAAAAAUUAUCAUGUCCGGUUCCCUCGGGGGAUGGAUCCAUAAGAAUUCACCUAUCCCAAU
rfam:Arabidopsis lyrata subsp. lyrata unplaced genomic scaffold ARALYscaffold_2, whole genome shotgun sequence.